AGCAAUUGGAGGUCUAAUAGGUACACUCAUGGAGCAAAAUGCACAGGCCUUCAACCAAAUCUCAAAAAAUCUUGCUUCUCAUAUGUCUUAAUUGGAGCUUGAUCAUUAUUUGGAUCCCGGAUAAAGGUGACGAAUCAGGGUCAAUCAUACUUCAUCUGGAUUCUUUGAGUCUUCACUCUAGCAUAUCACUAUUUGAUAACAUCAAAAGUUGAUUAAUUUCCAGGUUCUUUGUGAUUUAAGACCAAGAGAAUUAUACUAAGAGAAAUCAGCUACUAAGAAUAAGGAUUAGGGUAGU